rnacentral:lncRNA from 1 species
AAUAAUUUGACUUUCACGUGUCACGCUUAGACCCCAAUGAGACCCACUGUUUGCUGUUGUAGUGAUUAUGAUUAUGACUACUUUACCCCUAUUGUUGACAUUUUUACCUAUUUUGUCUGUUUGUUUUGUUCACAUAUCGUUGUUAAUAUAGUCGAAUUUUAUACGUCUGUCAUACAAGGGAGAGGUUCAACUAUAUCUAUAAAACAAGGUUUAAUCUACCAUUUUCUACAUAAGGCAAUGCUUUUAUAUUUCCUCCUAUACAUUUCUAGGAAUGUGAUUGGUUAAAAGCGCCCUCGUGGAGACCAUGUAUAUUUCAUAUUGGGUUAGUAGGGAGGCGGGGCUUAUCGCAUUCACGGUAAGUAGUGGUGUUGCGUCCCUUAAAAUUCCAUAUAAGGUAGUAGGGAGGCGGGGCUUAUUUCAUACACGGUUGGUAGUGGUGUUACGUCCCUUAAAAUUCCAUAUAAGGUAGUAUGGAGACGGGGCUUAUUUCAUACACGGUAAGUAGUGGUGUUACGUGCCUUAAAAUUCCAUAUAAGGUAGUAGGG